UUUCAAGAGACUUUUCAGACAUUUCAAUAGUAUAUGCUCAAGCAGUAGCAGAAAAUAAAAGGCUUGCAAAUGAAAUCAUCACCAUAACAGAUCAAAUCAGUGAAAGUAUAAAAAGAAAAGUGAUGUAUGAAUCUGAAAUUCAAUCUUUACUGAGACUGAAGUCAAAGAAUAAUGAUUAUCUCAAACACCUCUACAAAGAGGCUUAUCAAAUUGGUGCUAUUUUCCAUGUAACCAAACAUAAAACAGAUGAAUUGGAACUUAAAAUAACAGAAGUGAGAAGAAAAUUUAAGGUUAGAGAAGAUUUCCUGAAAAGACUUACUUGAGGUCGAGUGGCUGCUGGGACAAUGAUUCAGAAAAAACUAUAUUCCAUUCAAGAAGCCCAGAUACUUGAGAGGGAGAGCCUUUUGAAAAACAAAGCACUAUAUGCCCUUGCACUGGCAGAAAUAUUGGAGCCUCUACAGCAACUAGAAGAUGAUGCUGUAAGAAUCAGAACUGUACGCCAAGAACAGGCUGAUACACUCAGUAAUGUACUUCAGAAGGAAAAAUAUGUUAAAGCAAAGGUGGAAAAAACAAAGCAUAAGUUGCGAAGAAAG
rnacentral:lncRNA from 1 species